AGGAAACACAAGACAUGAGGUUAGGACUAGGCCUUCUUAGAGGUUAAGAACAGCCAUAUAGCAAUAUCCCGCCCAUACCACCCCUACCUCCUACCUCUAUGGAAAUGCUAAGUCUGGAUUAUAGCAAACUACUUUUCAACUCUUCAGUCUGGGAUUGUACUAGAAAAGCAAUAAUGAAGAACCCUAGAGUAGAAGUCAAGACAUGAGGCUUGGUCUGUCUAGAUUUGUGACUUUGGACAAAUCAUCACCCUCUCCCUUGCCUCAGUUGCCUCUUCUGUAAAAUGAGAGUUGGAUUAGAUGUCUACCAAGGUUCCUUCCAACGCACACAUCUCCAAAUCCCCGCCAUCUUUGACAUCUGUGUUCUAACCAUCUGCCUUCUGAGAAAGUCACUAGGAACUUUGACAUUCUACAUCAUCAAGCCCCUUUCAGCUGACAUUCUAUGUUCUCAGGUCACUUUCUGCUCCAACAUUUUAUGGUCUAACACCCUGUGUUCUAGGGUUCUACAGUCAACCUAAUAGGUCCUAGCUCAAAACCCUCCUCCUCCAAGAAGCGGCCUGAUCAUCUAUCCCACCUACUCUUCACACCGUGCCCCCUUAACAGUCACAUAAACAGGCCACAAAGAACUGUUACAUGCUUCUUCAUAUGUUGCUUUGUUAUCUAGUAGUUAUGAAUACAAUGUAAUCCCUCAUAUUUAUGUAGCCCUUUUCAAAGCUCCCUAGAAACUGUUACUUCCUUGCAUUGUCCCAAACCUCUGUAAGUAUAUGGAGCAAAUAUGAUUUCCCCCUAUUUUACAGCUAAGAAGACUGAGGCCCAGAGAAAGGAAACACCAGGCCACCCAGCGAUUCUAAGGUAUGUCUCAGGUCUUGUCUAGAUGGUAAAUCUUAGAGGAAAUACCAAGUUUGGGAGGACUUUGAUUCAGAGGGCUCAUUUUAAGGAUGAGGAGGUAAAACACCUUGCCCAAGGCCAGCCAGUCAACAAGCAUUUAUUAAACACCUACUGUGUUCCAGACACUGUGCUACGCCCCAAAGAUUUACAGGUGGCUGAGGCAGGAUUUGAACCAGGCUCUUUCUGACUCUAGAUUCAGUUCUCUUUGUCUGCUGCGCCUGGGGUGGGGUGGGGGGGUGGGGAAUGGGACUCUUGUUUUCUCCUGCCUUUAUUUCCCUCUUAGCACACAGCACUAUCUUACUCUGUGGUUGGAAGGGACUCAAAGGCUAUCAUGUCCAACUGAGGCUCACAGAGGUAAAGAGACUUGCCCAAUGGUACCCAGACAGUCCUAGCAGGGACAGGAUUUGAUCCCAGAUUCUUGGCCUCAAGAGCCAGCGUUCUUUUCUCUUCCGCUGCUCUCUCUCUCUUAUUAUUCCUUCUUCUCAUCCCUUUUCUGCUCAGAGUCUCUCUGCUGCCUAUGAGAUCAAAUUCAAAUUUCUUAACCUAGCAUUCUAGGCCCUCCAUGUUUAGGCCAGCUUGGCAUAUUUCUUGUCCCAUCUGACCCUAUUCCCCAACCCUGCCAUGGACUCUCUUUACCUGCCGACCCCAAACACUUUCCUACAUCUGUCAUUUCUUAUGCCUGGAAUGUCUUUUGUCCCUUUCCCUACCCAAUCUCCCCCAGUGGAAAACAUACCCAUCCCUUAUAAGGCCUUGGUCAAAUGUCACCUUCUUCUUGAGCCCUGUCAGAAGGUAAUAAUAAUCCUUUCCUUCUUGGACCUCAUUUGGUUUGUAAUUCUCAUGUACAUAAAAAAAUUUGUCUGUAUAUGUCUCUUAUUACCCAACUAGACUUUAAGGUCUGUGGGAGUGGGGACAGGGUCUCAUCUAAAUUUCACAUCUUUCCCAGGCUGAUGCAGUACUCUGUACACAAUAGGCAAUAAUGUUUUCUGAAGUUGAAGCAGUAAUUCCAUUAUGAUCAGUAAGCAUUUCCUGAACUGGUCAUGCCAGAGAAACUGAGGAAAUAGGCACAACAAAUCUCAAACCCACAGGGUUCCUGCCCUUGGAGAUGAGCUGAUCACUUGUUUUCCCUUAGCCCUAAAUAUCUGAAAUUACUAUGGGUCUGGCCUUUAUAUUUCAAUCUGACAUCCAACUGGGGGUUGUUAGAGGCCUGGGAUAGCCGCACAUCAUCAGCUUUUCCCCCAAACCUCUUUUGGGCUCCUUGGGAAUCUCACUCCUUGCUACCAGGCUUCAAGACUUGGAAAAAGCUUCUUCUCUGGUUCAGAGAAGGGCUGACUCUUUUCCAAUCUGGGGACACGGAGAGGCUAGGUCUGGGAAUUAUUGACCCCUCUUCUUUCUCACAGAACUUCCCCUCCACCCCAGCCAAGCCCCUACCUCCCUCAUCAACCUCAUUGAGCCUUUGUCCUUCCUGAACCUGCAUUCUCUUCCCUGAACUUUCCCUGAACAAGAGUUUAGUCCCUGGACCCUUCCCUGAGCCCCUAUCUCCAAUUCACCUCCCAUCUUUCCCAGUCUUUCUUCUAGCUGAGCCCUCAUCCUACUCACUUAACCCUCACCCUCUUCCCUGAGCCCCUAUCUCUGAUUCACCUCCCCCUACUCAAUCUUUCUUCUAAAUGAGCCCAAAUCCUUUCCCCUGAGCCCCUUUUCCCAACCUCUCAGGCCCUAUCCUCUUACUGAUUCCCCCAUCCCUAGCUCUCAUCCUUCUCCCUAAGCCUCCACCCCCAGAACCUGCCUUUCCUCUCCUCCAACAGAGCCCAGAGGACAAUGGGAAGCUCCUCUCCCAGAAGCCAGAGAGGCCUCAGCAGACAGCCUCACCCACACUGUCAGAACAUGCCUGCGCUAAACCCAUGACUAUGGCCACAUGAGCCAAACCCUCAGCAUGGCCCCAGGGCUGGAGAAGGAACCAUCGCUCAGGGAACAGUGACGAAAUCAGGAGCAGGGAUGGGGACAGAGUCUGCUCCCCACUCCUCCCACCACCUUCUCUGGCCCAAGCACAUUCAAAUUCAGCUCAGCAUCCCCUUCUUUGUCUCCAGGACAUUCAGCAAUGCGGAUGGCUGUUUGGCUGUUAGUGCUGCUGAGGUCAGGCCUGCCAGGCACCCAGGAGGAAUGUUGGUUUGGAGAGUACAAGGCCAGCUUCCCUGGCUAAAGCCCCAUCGAUGUUCUGCAAGAAGCCCUUCCUGGUCCCUGUCAAUGCCAGACCCUUCUACAUACUGAUCAUCUCCCACAGAUUGAUCUGUACUGAAGUACCUGCAUGCUGCUUCCCCCAUUAGACUGGGAGCUCCUUGAAGGAACAGCACUGGCCGGGACUGUAUCUCCUGUCUCUGCCCUGACUCCCCGAGUCACCAAAAUUCAGAAUUGGAAAGAACCUUGGAGGCCAGCUAGCCCAACCUACAAAAGAACCAAGCAGCGGUCACACAGCCUUCCCUGGAAGACCUCUAGAGGAGGGAGGGACCCUGCUCCCAUUCCACUUCUGGGAAGCUCACCUGGCCUGAACUCAAGGCCCAUUGCCAACCUGGUCUCCUGUCCCUGGACCUGCACCAGCUUAUCAACAUCCUUCCUACCACUUGGACUGAACACACUACUCCAGCUGGAUGGCUCAGGGGACAGAGUGCUGGGCCUACAGUCAGGAAGAAAAAGAAACUGAGACUCAGAGACUUGCUAAAGGUCACCCAAUGACAGAGCACGGAACAGAGCCCAGCUUCCUGAUGGCUGGUCCACUACGGCCAACCUCUUUGCUGACAUCAUUGCCCACUGUGCCCAAGUCCUUUGUUGGUACUCUUACUUCCUCAAUUAAUUCUCACUUUCCUCUUGCAUCUGGAAGCUCUCCCCACCCUCUCAGCUCCUGGGAAAAGCCUUAUGAAUCCAGACACUAAAUCAUCCCCAUUUCCCAGACCCAUACAAACAUGGGGAGGCUGCUGGGUUGCUGAGCAAUCAGUGCUGUCUAUUUCCAGUAUGGGGUGGGGAGCAGGGAGAGGAUGAACAGGGAGCAGGAUGGGGAAGCUGGAUGCCGUCCCAGGUGCCCCUGAGCCAGGAUCUUCACUGGGCAACUUCCUUAUUUGGUUUGACACGCUGUGACUUGCCAUGAGGUCAGACACCCCCAUAUUCCAAUAGAAGAGCAGGAUCUAACAGACGGGGCUUUCUGAUAAUUUGACACUUCUGUAUUAUCUAGGAGUCCUUUCUCUCUCUAAAAGAAGGGUGAAAAGUUGACCUUUUCUAACUCUAAAUGAAAACCUCCCCAGCCUGUCUCUGGCCUCUGGUACUAAGGGCUCAUUGCCAGUCAGCUGGAGCUCAGUGAACUAAAUCUGUGACUGUCCACCCUCUACCUCCUCCCUACCCCCCCCCAAAAAAAAGCCAUGUGAUAAUUCUCAGGCUAAAUAGAAAUGAAUGUUGGAUAUCUGUGAUUCUGGAUUAUCUGUGCCAUGGUCACUCCUCCACUGGUAUGGAUCAUGAGUUGAUUGUGGGUGGAAUGGUAGGUUUUUGGCUUUUUUUCACCUCACAGGCAUUUGGGAAUUUGGGAACAAUGGGUGGGGCAGUCAGAGCUUGGGAGGGGAGUCUGAGAGGGUAUAACUGAAGCUUAAGAGCACCAAAUCACUAAGGCCUCUUCUCCCCUUGCUCUAAGCCAGACUCCAUGUAGAAUCCUACUGAGCAGGAGUAAGCCAAGAUGGCUCAACAUUGGUCCCACGGUUGUCUUAGAUCGUCUAGAGGGAAAAAAUCAAAACCCAAACUACCAGAAAGGCAAACUGAGGGAGGAGGGCUAAACAGAAGAUAGAGUAGGAGGUUGAGAACAAGGUCAGGCUGGCAUCUCCUGGCUCACCUUUGCUCCAAAUCCACAGAGAGGGAUGUCUGAAUUUUGUAAAGCCCCAAUGGGAAGCCACUUGGAGGAUCACUGUGUGUCCUGCUGGUCACCCAGUGACCACCAGCUCUUAACAGCUGGAUAUGCCUGUUGUCUGCCCUUGUACAAACAGAUGAUCCACCUGUCAAAUUGUUUCUCUCUCUUCGUCUACGUCUCUUUCUCUCUCCCUCCCUCUCUCACUCUCUGUCUCUCUCAUUCACACAC